UUUAAUUAAAUACUACAAAAAAAAAUGUUUUAUACGAUGUUUUUAAGACGAUACUUUAUUCUAGCGUCUUCAAUAUUUGGCAUGUGACGACACUAUGAUUAAGCAUCACCAAUAAACAUAUUUUUAUUAAAUACUGAUAAUAAUUUUAGACGCUAUAUUAAAGUAUCGGUAUAUUUAUCCCGACAUAUUUACUUAACGACUCCUUACUCGAUGCUUUUAUAAGCGUCGGGAUUAUUCUUGCUUACAUUUUAAAACAUCAUUAGUUAUUGCUCUUAAGUACAAGAUUUGUUGUAGUGAAAGCAUAUAUAUUAGUUUUAAUUAACUAUUCCUACUCAAAAUCCCAACAACUACAU
rnacentral:lncRNA from 1 species